ACAUGAAGCCGGAAUCGCUAGUAAUCGCGGAUCAGAAUGCCGCGGUGAAUACGUUCCCGGGUCUUGUACACACCGCCCGUCACACCAUGGGAGCCGGUAAUGCCCGAAGUCUGUGGCCCAACCGAAAGGAAGGAGCAGCCGAAGGCAGGCCCGGUGACUGGGGUGAAGUCGUAACAAGGUACC
rnacentral:rRNA from 1 species